rnacentral:pre_miRNA from 1 species
AGUGUGAUUGUUGGAUCAUAAGUUAAGUAUUUAUUUUAUUUUGUACAAAACUGCCAAAUUUUUACUAAAGUGACUGGACUGUAGAUUUUAUAUUUCCACUGACAAU